rnacentral:rRNA from 1 species
UACGGAGGGUGCGAGCGUUGUCCGGAAUCACUGGGCGUAAAGGGCGCGUAGGCGGCAGGCCAAGCGUGUGGUGAAAGCCCGGGGCUCAACCCCGGGUCGGCCAUGCGGACUGGCGUGCUUGAGCACUGUAGGGCGGUGGAAUUCCGGGUGUAGCGGUGGAAUGCGUAGAGAUCCGGAAGAACACCGGUGGCGAAGGCGGCCCGCUGGGCAGGAAGAGUGGAGCAAUCCAUCGGCUGACGCUGAGGCGCGACAGCGUGGGGAGCAAACAGG